AGUGGCGAACGGGUGAGUAAUGCAUCGGAACGUGCCCAGUCGUGGGGGAUAACGCAGCGAAAGCUGUGCUAAUACCGCAUACGAUCUAUGGAUGAAAGCGGGGGACCGUAAGGCCUCGCGCGAUUGGAGCGGCCGAUGUCAGAUUAGGUAGUUGGUGGGGUAAAGGCUCACCAAGCCGACGAUCUGUAGCUGGUCUGAGAGGACGACCAGCCACACUGGGUCUGAGACACGGCCCAGACUCCUACGGGAGGCAGCAGUGGGGAAUUUUGGACAAUGGGCGCAAGCCUGAUCCAGCAAUGCCGCGUGCAGGAAGAAGGCCUUCGGGUUGUAAACUGCUUUUGUACGGAACGAAACGGUCUGGGUUAAUACCCUGGGAUAAUGACGGUACCGUAAGAAUAAGCACCGGCUAACUACGUGCCAGCAGCCGCGGUAAUACGUAGGGUGCAAGCGUUAAUCGGAAUUACUGGGCGUAAAGCGUGCGCAGGCGGUUUUGUAAGACAGGCGUGAAAUCCCCGGGCUCAACCUGGGAAUUGCGCUUGUGACAGCAAAGCUGGAGUGCGGCAGAGGGGGAUGGAAUUCCGCGUGUAGCAGUGAAAUGCGUAGAUAUGCGGAGGAACACCGAUGGCGAAGGCAAUCCCCUGGGCCUGUACUGACGCUCAUGCACGAAAGCGUGGGGAGCAAACAGGAUUAGAUACCCUGG
rnacentral:rRNA from 1 species